rnacentral:sRNA from 1 species
UAACCUUAUUUUUUGUAGUAAUUACAUAGGUAUGCCAUUAGAAAUAAAAAUUUAAAGAGUAAAUUAAUUCAUCUU